rnacentral:rRNA from 1 species
UACGUAGGUGGCAAGCGUUGUCCGGAAUUAUUGGGCGUAAAGCGCAUGUAGGCGGUUUGUUAAGUCUGGUGUGAAAGCUCAAGGCCUAACCUUGAAAUUGCAUUGGAAACUGGCAAACUAGAAUACCGGAGAGGUUGGUGGAAUUCUCGGUGUAGAGGUGAAAUUCGUAGAUAUCGAGAGGAACACCUGUGGCGAAGGCGGCCAACUGGACGAGUACUGACACUGAGACACGAAAGCGUGGGGAGCAAACAGG